rnacentral:tRNA from 1 species
GUCUCGGUGAUCUAAAGGCUUAAGAUGCUCGCUCGAAAAGCAAGGAAUCAGGGUUCGACUCCCGGUCGAGAUA